UGCAGGCUAGCUUUUACUUACAUAGUACCUAUACUAUAAUGAAUAUUAUUCAUUUUAAAUUUUAAUAUGACGGUUACUACUAUGAUUCUGUGACGAUGAUGGUGUGUCCUUUUUUUUCUGCAUGUGAACAAUUUUUCUACCAGAAAUCUUGCUCCAAUUAUUUGGGCCCGAAACGGCGAAGCUCAUUCAUUUAGACACGCGAAGGAGAAGCGUUCUUUCACCGACCGGAGUAUAUCAGAUUUUCUGUUUUUACUCAGUUUUCAGAGGACCACCCCUGGUGGUUUUCUCUCUACAUUGCUAUUUAGCAACAUUUUAAAAAGAUCAACAAAUAUCUUAAAAAAUUAACUGACAUACUUUGCACUUGGAUGCAGCCACUGUUGUAGGUGAGAAGUUGAAAGGGUAG